GGAAACUCUCCCAGCUUCUCCCAAGGAUCUGGGAAGACACUCCGAAUUUGCUGCAAUAGAAAAGCUGUUGGCCAAAGUACAAGCCUGAAGAAAAUAACACACCUUGCCACUGGACAAAGAGGAUGGUGGAAGGGAAGGGCUUAUGAAGAUUCAGCUGAAAGACUCUGGAUGCUAGAGGCUGAUACCAUGUGGCAGGAGCCAGGAGCCAGUGUAGCUGCGAGGAAAGGGACCCACAGAGACUGCGCCAGCUUAUCUCACCUGUGCAGAGGCUGACAAGUACAUUCCCUGUUUGAUGGGCUAAUUAUGGAAGCACACUGGAGUCGUCGUAGUUAAGUUUGUAACUAGCUUUGAGCUGUAAGGCCAGUUUUGAUGUCUCGUCUAACUAUUCUGGAAUAAAUCCCUGCAAGAGAAAUUUAAGUUAUAUGGAAUGGUUGGAAAAAAUUUUGUGAAGUUUUGUGGCUAUUGCAACAUUUAGUAUUUUAGUGUUAGAAAUUAUUUUCUACCUUUUUGACCUCUCAGAAGUGUUGCUUAUCUCUAUGCUGGGAAAGUAUGUCAUGUUAAAUGUUGUUACUGUUGGAUAGGUUUAGCCAGUUCUGAAUGAGUCUUGGAGAGCCUAUUAAAUCUAUCAAUCAUCGGGAGGGGAAUUUCAGCAUUUC